UACGGAAGGCAGCAGUGGGGAAUAUUGCACAAUGGGCGCAAGCCUGAUGCAGCCAUGCCGCGUGUAUGAAGAAGGCCUUCGGGUUGUAAAGUACUUUCAGCGGGGAGGAAGGCGAUGCGGUUAAUAACCGCGUCGAUUGACGUUACCCGCAGAAGAAGCACCGGCUAACUCCGUGCCAGCAGCCGCGGUAAUACGGAGGGUGCAAGCGUUAAUCGGAAUUACUGGGCGUAAAGCGCACGCAGGCGGUCUGUUAAGUCAGAUGUGAAAUCCCCGGGCUUAACCUGGGAACUGCAUUUUGAAACUGGCAGGCUUGAGUCUUGUAGAGGGGGUAGAAUUCCAGGUGUAGCGGUGAAAUGCGUAGAGAUCUGGAGGAAUACCGGUGGCGAAGGCGGCCCCUGGGCAAAGCUGACGCUCAGGGUGCGAAAGCGUGGGGAGCAAACGAGGGAUUAGGAUACC
rnacentral:rRNA from 1 species